GAAAUGCGAUAAGUAAUGUGAAUUGCAGAAUUCAGUGAAUCAUCGAAUCUUUGAACGCACCUUGCGCUCCUUGGUAUUCCUUGGAGCAUGCCUGUUUGAGUAUCAUGAAAUCUUCAAAGUAAAUCUUUUGUUAACUCAAUUGGUUUCUACUUUGGUAUUGGAGGUCUUUGCAGCUUCACACCUGCUCCUCUUUGUUCAUUAGCUGGAUCUCAGUGUUAUGCUUGGUUCCACUCGGCGUGAUAAGUUAUCUAUCGCUGAGGACACUGUAAAAGGUGGCCAAGGUAAAUGCAGAUGAACCGCUUCUAAUAGUCCAUUGACUUGGACAAUACUUUUAUGAUCUGAUCUCAAAUCAGGUAGGACUACCCGCUGAACUUGAGC
rnacentral:misc_RNA from 1 species